AACACUAUGGCCGAGUGGUCUAAGGCACUAGAUUUAGGUUUCUCGUAAUCUACCUCUAGUCAUUUGUGGUGUGGGUUCAAAUCCCACUCUGAUC